GUGGACGCCGCCAGAGCCGGGGGGUCCGAGGCGGGCACCGCAGCAAAGAGGGUGAACUACAUACAGGAGUGCCUUGCUCAGCUAGCUCUGGCACACCCCUGCUGAGACUGCACGGCAUCCUUCUCCUGCACCUGAGAUCCUGCCUGCUAAGAAUGCCUGGACAGAGCAUCCAGAAGAACCCAGCAGCACAAAGGCAGAGAUUGCAUCCGUUGCUAGGAGAACAAGGCGGCAGAAUACCCUUCCAUGACAAUCCUGCCUCUGCACCUGAGAUCCUGCCUUCAUAUCCCUGGAGAGAGCAUCCAGAAGAAACCAACAGCACAAGGUCAGAGACUAUUUCCCCUGAAUCUGGGAGGAUUCCAGCCUCAAAGUCCACGGGCAAAGCUCCCCUGAAGAAUUUGACACUAGUAAUAGGCUGUGAUGUAGCCCCAGAGGGUAGCUGAUAAUUUAUCAAAACUUAUGAGUAAAUGUUUUGAUGCCUCUGUAACAUUUAUUGC